GAUGAAGAACGCAGCGAAAUGCGAUAAGUAAUGUGAAUUGCAGAAUUCAGUGAAUCAUCGAAUCUUUGAACGCACCUUGCACCCUUUGGCAUUCCGAAGGGUAUGCUCGUUUGAGUGUCAUUGUACUCUCACACUCCCAAUUGCUUUGGAUUGGGAGCGGUGGACUUGGGUGUUGCUGCUUGACUGAGGCUCACCUGAAAUAUGUUAGUGCACCUCUUGGUUGGACAUAGUACGGCGUGAUAAGUGUCUUCGCCGGCACCUCAGUAGAGGGUGGCUGAUCAGGAGCUCUGUGCUUCAAACCGUCCUCGGACAACAACUGACAACUUGACCUCAAAUCGAGUAGGACUACCCGCUGAACUUAAGCAUAUCAAUAAGCGGAGGA
rnacentral:misc_RNA from 1 species